rnacentral:rRNA from 1 species
AACGAACGCUGGCGGCAGGCUUAACACAUGCAAGUCGAACGCCCCGCAAGGGGAGUGGCAGCCGGGUGAGUAACGCGUGGGAACAUACCCUUUUCUACGGAAUAGCUCUGGGAAACUGGAAUUAAUACCGUAUACGCCCUACGGGGGAAAGAUUUAUCGGGGAAGGAUUGGCCCGCGUUGGAUUAGCUAGUUGGUGGGGUAAAGGCCUACCAAGGCGACGAUCCAUAGCUGGUCUGAGAGGAUGAUCAGCCACAUUGGGACUGAGACACGGCCCAAACUCCUACGGGAGGCAGCAGUGGGGAAUAGUGGACAAUGGGCGCAAGCCUGAUCCAGCCAUGCCGCGUGAGUGAUGAAGGCCUUAGGGUUGUAAAGCUCUUUCACCGAUGAAGAUAAUGACGGUAGUCGGAGAAGAAGCCCCGGCUAACUUCGUG